AUAUCGGCUCUGUCGAAUAAAAUUCUAGGUAGAUUAUGAUAAUGACAUUUUUUACCUAUAGGUCUUGACCAAAUUGCGUGCCAGCAGUCGCGGUAAUACGUAGAAGACAAGUGUUAUUCAUCUUUAAUAGGUUUAAAGAGUACUUAGACGGUAAAUCAAGCCCUAUACGGAACUAAUUUACUAGAGUUACUUAUGAGGGGGCUAUAAAGUACUAGUGGUGUAGAGAUAAAAUUUUGUAAUACCAUUUUCCGGUGGGAAAGAUUUGGCACUGGUAAAGGUGAAGGCAUCCCCCUAUGUGAUAACUGACGUUGAAGGACGAAGGCUUUGGGUCGCGAAUAGGAUUAGAGACCCUAGUAGUCUAAGCAGAAAAUGAUGAGUGUCAUAGAUUAGACUAUAGUUUAUUCUAUAAAUGAAAGUGUAAGCACUCCACCUCAAGAGUAAUUUGGCAACAUUGGAACUGAAAUCAUUAGACCGUUUCUGAAACCAGUAGUGAAGUAUGUUGUUUAAUUUGAUAAUCCGCAAAAAACCUUACCACAACUUGAAUACAUAUAUCGUUGAUAUAUGAUAUAUAUUUACAAGCGUUGCACGGCUGUCUUCAGUUAAUGUCGUGAGGCUGUGGUUAGAUCCAUUAAUUAACGUAAACCCUUUCUUUAUUUUUAAAUAAAGUAGUUCUCCGCUAUAUUGGAUAUGAUAAUAGGGAUUAAGACAAGUCAUCAUGGCCUAAAUAUUGU
rnacentral:rRNA from 1 species